AACACCUCCUCUCUAUCUCUGUCUCUCCCCGUUGAAAAGCGCUUGUGUGGUGAUCCUUCGUUUAUAUGGAUAGUGAAAAGAGUGAGAGUGUUGGUAGUAAUAACACAGAGAAGACAAUGGCUCAAGCUGAAGCUGAGGCUCUGAAGAAAUGUUUAGAGGAAAACAAAGGGGAAAGUCAGGCUAAUUGUAAGUCAAAGCUUGAGGCAUUUCAGUCUUCUUCUCAUCCAAAGAAACCAUUGGGUCGUUUAAGCCUCACGACCGGUUCUCUCACUGAGGUUUGAAGAAAUUAGUGGCAACUCAAUUUCAGGUGGUAGGGUUGGGGUAUAAUAUUCCAUUACAAAUAUAAAUAAAUAGGAAAUGUCCAUAAUUAAGAACCUUAGGUUACUGUUCAUGCUUAAAGCUCUUUGAUUUGUGAAUUGUGAUGCCUUACAUGGGUAUUUAUUAUUUUAGGUAAAAUUUCGCAUUUCUUUUUUAUUUGCCUUUUUCUUAGCUAUGUAAUGAAGCUUGAGGAAAUAAAAUCCCUUUGGUUGGAUUGAA